rnacentral:lncRNA from 1 species
CAGUACUAUACAGAAAACAUGCCCAUCUGCUGUUCUAAUCCUUUACUUUGAGUUCUCUGUAAAAUACAACAUACACAGUUUACUGUACAGUAUCCGUGUUUGCUUGAUACACAAUAAAAAUCAAAUGCCUUUUUAAUUGUGAGGUGAAAGAAAUGAUUAAUCAAUGUCUGCUUCUUUUUGUUUUUGCCUAUUUGGCCACUCAGAUUGUCUAGUGAUAUCACAUGAUUGCACUACUGUUGUCACAAUGCUUCUUCAAAAAUUUUCUCACUGUUUUCAAGUCUUCCUUGGCCUCCUGUGUCGACAGGACUGGUUGUUCUACAUUGUUGUCAUUUUCCUCUGAAGAAUUGUUAAGUUCAGGAUUGCUAUGAAGCAUUUCACAAUGUCAUCUGUUGACAUCUCAUAAGUUGAAAUUUUGUCCUUGAGCACCAGAAAUUCUUAAAUUCAUAAGAUUAUCAAUAUGAGAACAUGUAAUUAGCUGCUCCAAUGUUUCUCCUAGUUCCUUACCAGGAUUGUCUUUAAAAAGAGAAUGUGUUCAUUUAAUCAGUCCCAUGUGAGCCCAGCUAUUGUGAAUGGCCUCUGGUGUGACUUUAUCCCAUGCCAAGCCACAUGCGAAGAAAUCCAGAUUAUUACAGAGAUGCCCCAUAAACAUGGAUACAACUCAUCCCUUAUCAAAAAAAUUAUGGAAAGAAAUGAGAGAGAAACCGGAGAGACCAAUCCCUCCACAAGAA